rnacentral:lncRNA from 1 species
CCUAGUACUGUUGUGCAUGUUGGUGGUGGAACCCAUGGCCACAACUGCUCUCACAUGUGGACAAGUGGCAAGCGAAACGGCUGGUUGUAUAAGGUAUUUGCAGCGUGGAGGGAACCCUCCAGCUGCUUGCUGCAACGGAGUAAGGAACCUAAACAGGCAAGCUAGAACCACCCGUGACCGUCAAACUGCAUGCAGAUGCUUGCAAACUGCCGCUAGGACCAUCUCCGGUAUCAAUGCUAAAUUGGCUGCCGGUCUUCCGGCCAAAUGCGGUGUCAAAAUUCCUUACAAGAUCAGCCCCUCCACUAACUGCAAUAG